ACUGUGGCGCGCUCAUCUCUAUCAUGGCGGACCACGGAGGGUUAAGAGCGCAGUGGGAGACAGCCUGGCUGUGGCCAUCGCCGCUGUUUUCUGAGGCCGCCGGCAGGAGCUGUGUGCCACAGGAAAGCCGAUACGGCAGAGGAAGGAGAAUUUUUCCAUCGAGUGUGAGGAGACAAAUCAAGCCUAUGUGACGCUGGGUUCUGCAGCUCUAUAUCCUGAAUGAUUCCUAAUACCUGGGAUCAAACUCAGGACCUUGCACUUGCCAG